rnacentral:lncRNA from 1 species
CCCAUCUAAAUCUACCCACUGACAGCUUACAGCCAUUCCCUGUGCCCUGUCCCUCCAUCCUUGUCCCCAGUCCCUCUGCAGCUCUCCUGGAGCCCCUUCAGGCCCUGGAAGGGGCUCUGAGCUCUCCCCAGAGCCUUCUCCUCUUCAUGCUGAACAAUCCCAAUUCCAUCACUUGUCAUCACCCAGGUUCUGUGCAGAGAUUUCCUCCACCACCACCACGUGCAGCUGAGGGAGAAGCUCCCAAGCACUCUGUGCAGCCUUUGAGGACCGUGAUUUAGAGAGUGACAUCCAAAGAUUUGCAAUGAACAGCUUUUAUCUGUGUGUGUUUGUGUGAGAAGCAGCGAGGCGGGAAAGGAAGCACAGCCAGAGCUCUUCCACCCACCCAGGACAGGAUGGCCAUGGAUCCUCUGCUCUGGAACUCUCCCUGUCACCUCCCAGGGACAUCUGCUGGGUCUGCAAAAGGAGGAACUGGGGUCUCCACACUGCAACAGGCUGGGAGCAAGAGUCAGUGAGGACUCAGAUCCUGAGGCAGAGGGGGAAUUACAAAAAGCCAAUGUUUCAUUACAAAAACUGGUGGAAAACCUUCCGGCCUUCUCUCUGCCAGUCCAACAGGCACAGUGUGGUCAAUGACAAGGCAUCCUGAGCCUGGCUUGUUCCAAUCAACUUCUGCAGGAGCGGGAUCGCCAAGGGAUCGCGGGAGUCGGGAACAGCGUUUAGCACUUUGCUGACCUUGACUCCACCUUUUCAAAACUCCUUCUGGAACCAAGAUUUUUUCCAGCCAUUUUCAAGUGAUUUCUUCCACUUCCUCCAGAGACUGAAACACUUGAUUGACCUGUGAUGUUCAGUGAAAUUCUUGCACUGGAAAUGAAAAAAAUGUUGGAAACCCUAGACAUGAAAAUGCUCAUGAACUUUAAAAAAAAAAAAAAAAGUCAAAAAAGUUUUCAACAUAUCAUCUGUCCAGGGUGUUUAACAACAGGUAUUUGGGGUUUCUUUUCAUUGUGAAGGAAGAUUUAGGAGCAAACAUGAAAAAUAGAUAUUUAAUUUUAAAUGUAUGAUUUUUACCUGUAUUUUAGCCUUGUAUAUAACACUCUGUCUCACUUGAGAGUUGCUAAUAACCAGGAAAUGAUUACUGAGAACUUCUGAAAUGACAUCGAGUAAAAAAUUAAAGGAUGUGAGGAGACUUUUUUUUAAGAAAUAA